rnacentral:rRNA from 1 species
UACGGAGGAUGCAAGCGUUAUCCGGAAUUAUUGGGCGUAAAGCGUCCGCAGGUGGCACUUCAAGUCUGUCGUCAAAGACCGGGGCUUAACCCUGGAAAGGCGAUGGAAACUGAAAGGCUAGAGAGAGGUAGGGGUAGAGGGAAUUCCCAGUGUAGCGGUGAAAUGCGUAGAGAUUGGGAAGAACAUCGGUGGCGAAGGCGGAUCUCUGGGCCAUUACUGACGCUGAGGAGCGAAAGCGUGGGGAGCGAACAGG